GGUUAAGCGACUAAGCGUACACGGUGGAUGCCCUGGCAGUCAGAGGCGAUGAAGGACGUGCUAAUCUGCGAAAAGCGUCGGUAAGGUGAUAUGAACCGUUACAGCCGGCGAUGUCCGAAUGGGGAAACCCAGUGCAAUUCGUUGCACUAUCGUUUGAUGAAUACAUAGUCAAACGAGGCGAACCGGGGGAACUGAAACAUCUAAGUACCCCGAGGAAAAGAAAUCAACCGAGAUUCCCCCAGUAGCGGCGAGCGAACGGGGAGCAGCCCGGAGUCUGAAUCAGCUUGUGUGUUAGUGGAAGCGUCUGGAAAGUCGCAGGGUACAGGGUGAUACUCCCGUACACUAAAACACACAGGCUGUGAACUCGAAGAGUAGGGCGGGACACGUGGUAUCCUGUCUGAAUAUGGGGGGACCAUCCUCCAAGGCUAAAUACUCCUGACUGACCGAUAGUGAACCAGUACCGUGAGGGAAAGGCGAAAAGAACCCCGGCGAGGGGAGUGAAAAAGAACCUGAAACCGUGUACGUACAAGCAGUAGGAGCCCACUUGUUGGGUGACUGCGUACCUUUUGUAUAAUGGGUCAGCGACUUAUAUUCUGUAGCAAGGUUAACCGUAUAGGGGAGCCGCAGGGAAACCGAGUCUUAACUGGGCGUUAAGUUGCAGGGUAUAGACCCGAAACCCGGUGAUCUAGCCAUGGGCAGGUUGAAGGUUGGGUAACACUAACUGGAGGACCGAACCGACUAAUGUUGAAAAAUUAGCGGAUGACUUGUGGCUGGGGGUGAAAGGCCAAUCAAACCGGGAGAUAGCUGGUUCUCCCCGAAAGCUAUUUAGGUAGCGCCUCGUGAAUUCAUCUUCGGGGGUAGAGCACUGUUUCGGCUAGGGGGUCAUCCCGACUUACCAACCCGAUGCAAACUACGAAUACCGAAGAAUGUUAUCACGGGAGACACACGGCGGGUGCUAACGUCCGUCGUGAAGAGGGAAACAACCCAGACCGCCAGCUAAGGUCCCAAAGUCAUGGUUAAGUGGGAAACGAUGUGGGAAGGCCCAGACAGCCAGGAUGUUGGCUUAGAAGCAGCCAUCAUUUAAAGAAAGCGUAAUAGCUCACUGGUCGAGUCGGCCUGCGCGGAAGAUGUAACGGGGCUAAACCAUGCACCGAAGCUGCGGCAGCGACGCUUAGGCGUUGUUGGGUAGGGGAGCGUUCUGUAAGCCGUUGAAGGUGGCCUGUGAGGGUUGCUGGAGGUAUCAGAAGUGCGAAUGCUGACAUAAGUAACGAUAAUGCGGGUGAAAAACCCGCACGCCGGAAGACCAAGGGUUCCUGUCCAACGUUAAUCGGGGCAGGGUGAGUCGACCCCUAAGGCGAGGCCGAAAGGCGUAGUCGAUGGGAAACAGGUUAAUAUUCCUGUACUUGGUGUUACUGCGAAGGGGGGACGGAGAAGGCUAUGUUGGCCGGGCGACGGUUGUCCCGGUUUAAGCAUGUAGGCGGAUGUUCCAGGUAAAUCCGGAACGUUAUUAACGCUGAGGUGUGAUGACGAGGCACUACGGUGCUGAAGUGACAAAUGCCCUGCUUCCAGGAAAAGCCUCUAAGCAUCAGGUAACAUCAAAUCGUACCCCAAACCGACACAGGUGGUCAGGUAGAGAAUACCAAGGCGCUUGAGAGAACUCGGGUGAAGGAACUAGGCAAAAUGGUGCCGUAACUUCGGGAGAAGGCACGCUGAUAUGUAGGUGAAGUGGUUUACCCAUGGAGCUGAAAUCAGUCGAAGAUACCAGCUGGCUGCAACUGUUUAUUAAAAACACAGCACUGUGCAAACACGAAAGUGGACGUAUACGGUGUGACGCCUGCCCGGUGCCGGAAGGUUAAUUGAUGGGGUUAUCCGUAAGGAGAAGCUCUUGAUCGAAGCCCCGGUAAACGGCGGCCGUAACUAUAACGGUCCUAAGGUAGCGAAAUUCCUUGUCGGGUAAGUUCCGACCUGCACGAAUGGCGUAAUGAUGGCCAGGCUGUCUCCACCCGAGACUCAGUGAAAUUGAACUCGCUGUGAAGAUGCAGUGUACCCGCGGCAAGACGGAAAGACCCCGUGAACCUUUACUAUAGCUUGACACUGAACACUGGUCCUUGAUGUGUAGGAUAGGUGGGAGGCUUUGAAGUGUGGACGCCAGUCUGCAUGGAGCCAUCCUUGAAAUACCACCCUUUAAUGGCUGGUGUUCUAACGUGGGCCCGUAAUCCGGGUUGCGGACAGUGUCUGGUGGGUAGUUUGACUGGGGCGGUCUCCUCCUAAAGAGUAACGGAGGAGCACGAAGGUCAGCUAAUCCUGGUCGGACAUCAGGAGGUUAGUGCAAUGGCAUAAGCUGGCUUGACUGCGAGCGUGACGGCGCGAGCAGGUGCGAAAGCAGGUCAUAGUGAUCCGGUGGUUCUGAAUGGAAGGGCCAUCGCUCAACGGAUAAAAGGUACUCCGGGGAUAACAGGCUGAUACCGCCCAAGAGUUCAUAUCGACGGCGGUGUUUGGCACCUCGAUGUCGGCUCAUCACAUCCUGGGGCUGAAGUAGGUCCCAAGGGUAUGGCUGUUCGCCAUUUAAAGUGGUACGCGAGCUGGGUUUAGAACGUCGUGAGACAGUUCGGUCCCUAUCUGCCGUGGGCGCUGGAGAAUUGAGGGGGGCUGCUCCUAGUACGAGAGGACCGGAGUGGACGCAUCACUGGUGUUCGGGUUGUCAUGCCAAUGGCAUUGCCCGGUAGCUAAAUGCGGAAGAGAUAAGUGCUGAAAGCAUCUAAGUACGAAACUUGCCCCGAGAUGAGUUCUCCCUGACUCCUUGAGAGUCCUGAAGGAACGUUGAAGACGACGACGUUGAUAGGCCGGGUGUGUAAGCGCAGCGAUGCGUUGAGCUAACCGGUACUAAUGAACCGUGAGGCUUAACCUU
rnacentral:rRNA from 1 species